rnacentral:RNase_P_RNA from 1 species
GGAGCAGGUCACCUUAUCGCCCCCGAUAGCUAUCGGGGGAGGAAAGUCCGGACACCAUAAUGCGGCAUAGCGGGUAACGCCCGUCUUCCCAUACCAUAUGGGAAAGGACCAGUGCAACAGAAAGUAUGUACAGAUAAUGCUGUAGUGAAAUCAGGUAAACUCUAUGCGGUGAAACGCCACAUAUACCGGCGUUAUGAGGGUUGCAUGCCCAAGCCGAAGGGUAGGCGGAUGGAGCUUUUGGGUGACCAAAAGCCUAGAUAAAUGAUAAGGGUCCGUAUUAACGGAAACAGAAUUCGGCUUAUGGCCUGCUUUUUUA